CGAAAGCCUGACGGAGCAAGACCGCGUGAGGGAGGAAGGCUCUUGGGUUGUAAACCUCUUUUCUCAGGGAAGAAGCUCUGACGGUACCUGAGGAAUCAGCCUCGGCUAACUCCGUGCCAGCAGCCGCGGUAAUACGGAGGAGGCAAGCGUUAUCCGGAAUGAUUGGGCGUAAAGCGUCCGCAGGUGGCGAUUCAAGUCUGCUGUCAAAGCACGGGGCUUAACUCCGUAAAGGCAGUGGAAACUGAAUAGCUAGAGUGCCGUAGGGGUAGAGGGAAUUCCCGGUGUAGCGGUGAAAUGCGUAGAGAUCGGGAAGAACAUCGGUGGCGAAGGCGAGUUACUGGACAUUUACUGACGCUGAGGCUCGAAGGCUAGGGUAGCG
rnacentral:rRNA from 1 species